ACUCCACGGUGAUGACAAGAUCUAGUGUAUCCCUUCAAUCUUUCCCAUGCUUCAUAGAGAGCUUCAUUUGGACCUUGUUUAAAGCUUGUGAUGUUGUUUCUAAUGCAU
rnacentral:snoRNA from 1 species